rnacentral:lncRNA from 1 species
AAAAAAAAGAAGAAAAGAAAAACAUAGAGAAGGUAAAAAGGGGGCGAAAUUUCAUUCAAACCUCUGGUAAAGUAUGAGGAACAACAACUUUAUUAUCUUUCAUUUGACGAUCUUUUCCUUUUUCUACCUGAUAAUUACUCAGUCAAAAACUCCACCAAAACUCGUCAAAAGAGAUGAUAGAACAUAAUGAAAUUGAUCCUCCAUUCUGUUGAUGGAAUUGUAUGUUAGAAAGGAGAGGGUUAUUGAUAGAUGUUGUCACGUUGAUGGAAUGACAAAUAAGAGCUCUUUGUGGGAGUCGGCUGUUCAAUUGCAGGGGUAAAGAGAGGUGGCUGAAGAAACAUGAAUAGCCAACAGAUACUCCGCUAGGUGACGGAAUGAGUGAAUCGUUCUUGAUUCUAAA